rnacentral:rRNA from 1 species
AAGUGUACAGGGGAUUAAGUGCUCACAAAGUUGGGCUUUUGCCAAUUGUAAAUAGCUUGGCGAAUAAGGGGUGGGCAAGACUGGUGCCAGCCGCCGCGGUAACCCCAGCGCCCCAAGCGGGAAUCACGAUUACUGGGUCUAAAGCGUUCGUAGCAGGUUCUGUAAAUCUUUUGUGAAAUCGGCAGGCUUAACUUGUCGGCGUGCAGGGACACUGCAGAACUCGAGACCGGGAGAGGCCAAAAGUAUUCCUUGGGUACCGGUAAAAUGGGUUAAUCCAAGGAGGACUACCAAUGGCGAAGGCAUUUGGCCAGCACGGUUCUGACUGUGAGGAACGAAAGCUAGGGGAGCAAAACGGAUUAGAUACCCGAGUAGUCCUAGCUGUAAACGCUGUGAGCAAGGUAUUGCGCACCCCACGAGGAUGCGCAGUGUCGAAGAGAAGUCGCUAAGCUCACCACCAGGGAAGUACGGUCGCAAGGCUGAAACUUUAAGGAAUUGGCGGGGGAGCACCACAAGGGGUGCGGCGUGCGGUUCAAUCUAACUCAACGCAGAGAACCUCACUAGAUCCGACGGCAGAAUGAAGGUCAUGCUGAAGACAUUACCUGACAAGCCGAGAGGUAGUGCAUGGCCGUCGUCAGCUCGUGCUGUGAAGUGUCCAGUUAAGUCUGGCAACGAGCGAGACCUGUACCCUCUAUUGCUAACAACUGCUUCGGCAGGGAUUGAGCACUUUGAGGGGACUGCCUGGAAACAGGGAGGAAGGUGCAGGCUACGGUAGGUCUGUAUGCUCCGAAUGGUCUAGGCUACACGCGCGCAACAAUGAUACCCCCUGGGAUGCCACUCCGAGAGGAGGAGCUAAACCUCUAAACCCUAUCCUAGUUCAGAUCGAGGCUAAAACCCAGCCUCGUGACGCUGGAUUUUCCGCC